rnacentral:rRNA from 1 species
GAUCCUGGCUCAGGAUGAACGCUGGCGGCGUGCUUAACACAUGCAAGUCGAACGGAGUUUUAAACGGAAGUUUUCGGAUGGAAGUUUAGAAACUUAGUGGCGGACGGGUGAGUAACGCGUGGGUAACCUGCCUCAUACAGGGGGAUAACAGUUAGAAAUGACUGCUAACACCGCAUAAUAUAGCGAAACCGCAUGAUUUUUGCUAUCAAAUAUUUAUAGGUAUGAGAUGGGCCCGCGUCUGAUUAGCUAGUUGGUGGGGUAAAAGCCUACCAAGGCGACGAUCAGUAGCCGGCUUGAGAGAGUGACCGGCCACAUUGGGACUGAGACACGGCCCAAACUCCUACGGGAGGCAGCAGUGGGGAAUAUUGGACAAUGGGGGAAACCCUGAUCCAGCGAACCGCCGCGUGAGUGAAGAAGUAUUUCGGUAUGUAAAGCUCUAUCAGCAGGGAAGAUAAUGACAGUAUCUGACUAAGAAGCCCCGGCUAACUACGUGCCAGCCGCCGC